rnacentral:lncRNA from 1 species
UCCUCAUCCUGCCUGGACCGUGGAACCCAGCUUCUAAUUUUCCCUGCGCCUUUAUCGCAGGCCAGUGCGCGUCGCAUUGACUGGCGUAUAGCUUACUCAGGCGAUUCUAGCUCAACGCCUGGCCUCGUGCUCUCCAUUUCUAGGGCACAGCCAGAUCCUCACUGGACAAAAAGCACCCGAAUGUGCAACUCUCAUGAUUCAUGCACUCUCCACCCUAUCCUCUCCACCCUUCCCCCCUCUCUCUUUCUCUCCAGGCCUUGACGGCCCUCCUGGCGUUGCCAAACCCAGGCCAUGAACUCGCAUCGCGCCUGCUCCGGAGUUUGACCUAAUUUCGCGUAGCCAGGAUUAGAAAUACGACUGUCGCAAUUAGCCUCUGGAGAAUCGUUUGUCUUUUCGGUUGCUUCCAAAUGGGUUUUAUUUAUUUAUUUGUUUAUUUUUCCCUUUCAAGUUGGUUGUGCAUGCCCAACUGAUGAGCGGAUUUCCACAACCCAGCGUCUGCCACUCCUGAUUGUGGUAUAAUGAUAAUAAUGUUGGUUUUUUCUCAUUCCUUUUAAGGGUCUCUCUGUGUUUGGUUUUGUUGAUGGUUGUUGAAUAACCUAAAUGGUCUCACCACACAAAGCACCCACUAAACCUACUACUCUUUUUUUCCUUCCCUUCAACUCACAAAUACUCCAUGCUUGGCAACCACCUCUCCCUAGUACCAAUACCUACACUGGGAGUAUUACCACUUUGUGAUGGAUGCCUCACUCCUUCCCCUUGUGGGAACACCCCAACCACUGGAGAAGAUGGAGAUAUGGCAUCUACUGUUCUGUGGCGGAAAAUGGACAGGAUCUCCAGCAGAAAUGACAUUCUCCCAUGGUGGAAAAAAAUGUCAUGGGCUCCAUCCAGCCUACACUUCCAUAGAAGAAGUUGCACCCUAUGCUCCAUUCUGACAUGUAUAUAAACAUAUAUGACAAAUAACAACACUCUGUUUUAUUACCUUUGCCAAGGUACCCCACAAUGUGUGUGUAGGGUGAGCUGGAGUCUCUGCUUGCAACAUACAGCUGUAAAUUUGUUAUUAAUAAGGAGCAUACAUGGAGAUUAUGGAAGUUUAUCAUUUAUUGAAUAAAUAAUGAAAGUAAAUGCAAUCCACAUGAUUGACUCAUUCAUGAACACC